rnacentral:miRNA from 1 species
AAAUCCCAAACCGAUUCAUA